AACUUGACCACUCCGGUGGCCUAGUGGUUAGAGCGUCCUUCUCAGAUGCGGGAGGUCGCGGGUUCGAACCCUGGUCGAGUUA